GCAGGAGCUAGCUAGCAGAGAGAACAGAGAUGAAUUUGACAAUCUUGCUCGGCAAGAUCACUUUGUUACAAGACAGGAUGUACGAAACUGUCAGAGGAAUUCAAUCGACUUUGCCAAUUUUGGUCACACAAGUGAUGCAGAGUCUGUCCAAUCUCUUGUGCAGAAAUUAUAGGAGGAGAAAUACAAUCCAGUUCUUCUGUACAAGGAAUGGGGCAUAAAAAUGACAUUGUACCAGAUCUUCCAGCAGAAUCCUUCCUUUGUGUCUUCAAACAAAGCACAAGAAAGAAUUGUUUCAGAAGUAUGCCAUGAACGUUCUGUGCAUGGAUUCGGCACAUGGCACAAACCAUUAUGACUUCAAGCUUAUCACUGUGAUGGUUGCUGAUCAGUUUGGGCAAGGUGCUCAUUGCCAGAGAUGCGUGGCUUUUGCACGGGAUUGACUUAACUUAAAUAAACAACUAACAUAUUUCCCUAUGCCACGUAGGAAGAACGGUUGGUUGGUGCAUUUGUAGCAAAGAGGAAAAGCAAUAUGUGCAGCACUUUUUACAAGCCAUCAAGGAUGCUGCCCCAACUACAACUAUCAAAACAGUCAUGACUGACGAUGGUACCAAAAAAGAUAAUUUACUGGCACCAAUGCAAAAUAAACAUCUAGAAAUCAAAUGUUUACUGAACAAUCAUUCACAUUCUAAAGUGGUACCGUAUCUUCUCACAAAUGUGCCGUGGCCGAGAGGGGUCAUGCCGUGUGCAGUGCGCGCUCGUGCCGUGUGCAGCGCGCACCCGUGCCGUGAAUAUUUUGAAAGCAUUCUUGUGUUCACGCGUCAACCUCGGGAAAAUGAGUCAAGCGCGUUCGGGCACGUGCAGCGAUUUCAUUAAAUUUUUAGCUGCAAGAACAGGAUACAAGUUGGAGGAUGACAACUGUCCUACUUCUCAACGACUUCUCUCAGCCAAGGAACUCCUCUCUACUGCAGCAGAGACGCAGAAACAGCUGAAGCACUUAAAAAGCAAACAGGCUGAAGAAGCAGCAGGCAGAUAUUCUGGAAUUCGAAAGAAUUCUAAAAACGUCGUUGUGUCAUUCUGUUUGUUGGACAGAGUAGGAAAAAAACCUUGAGAAGACAGCACCAGUUGAAGUACUGCUGGAAGUCGAUACAUCGUACAGCGAUUGUGUGGCUGCAGCUAAACAGGCAUUGAGUAUCGACCCAGAGAAUGAGCACAAGUUUCUAAUAACGUGUCUUGGAGGAGUUAUUGUUCCUGAACCUUCCAUCGAUAUGCGCUGGACGAUUGGAGAAUACAAAGCAAAGAAGAGACCAUCAGGUCUCCUGUCUCUUGCUUUGUGUCAACAGGUAAUUUAUGAUUAUACAGUUAAAAUGUCAGCUAGUACACUAAUUAAGCAGCAUGCUAUCAGGACAUAAUCACCAGUAGCAACAGGUACACAGCCAACAGGAAGAGGAAGUUUUCAAAACAUAGUAUAAAUAGUUUGUGCAUGAUAACUUUCCUAGUUUAUAGUUUGUUAUGGCACUGCUUUAGCAUGUACUAGCAACAAACAAAGUGAAGAAAAUGAAGAAGAAAGGAGACCCAAAUUGAAAAGAAAAUACAAACGUCUUGCCAACACUUUUUAUAAAUAGGAAAUCACGUGACUGUUAUUGUUGCAGUUCGUAAAUUUGUUAGUAUUGUACACUACAGUGGCAUUUGUAGCUGUAAACACGUACGCAAGAUAUAGCCUCGCAAGCCAGGCUCUUCCGCGCAGUCGCUGAGCUAACCGCACGUGAAUCACACGAGGAGGAGGAGCUUUUACCGGAAUUGCUCCAGCGCGAGAAGAGCCUGGUCGCUUUCGAGAACGUCAUAGUGACGUGGGACCCCCGAUCCGAUUUCAUAGCUUGAUAAAGCUAAUUCGAUUGCUCUUAAAGAGCUAAAUGGCGGUGUCUGUGUCACGACUUCACUGCAGCCAAGUAGGCCUACCAAGCAGCGCAGUAGUUUGAAGAACUGAACUCCUUUAUUGCCUACGCGGUUACUGUAAUUACGUAGCACUCAGAGUUGAAGCAGCACGCAGAGUCCGUGCAUUUUCAACACGUCCUGCAUGCGUAUAGUACGUUGUC